UAAGCCGCAUUCUGAAGCAGCCAGGGGGAAAUGCUCUGCUGGUUGGAAUGGGAGGAAGCGGGCGGCAGUCUCUGACUCGCCUGGCAGCGUUCAUGGCAAGAAUGUGUGUUUUUCAACCAGAGAUAUCUAAGACCUAUGGUACCAGUGAGUGGAGAGAAGAUCUGAAAGGGAGUAUUAAUAACCUGUCUACAUUUUGACUUAAUUUUGAGGAAGGGUGUUUUGGAACAUAAAAUUUUAACUGUCUUGCAUUUUCAGACACUUCUGAGGAAUGCAGGUGUUAAAGGCUUGAAAACUCUAUUUCUAAUCACAGACACGCAAAUUAAAGAAGAAAGCUUUUUAGAAGAUCUUGACAGUGUCCUCAGCACAGGAGAGGUUCCCAAUCCUUUUGCAGCAGAUGAAAAACAAGAAAUUGUAGAGGGUGUUCUUGCAGCAGUUCGGUCUGGUGAUAAAGGUGAAGAACUCAGUCCCUUGGCUUUGUAUGCACUUUUUAUGAACUUCUGCAAAGAAAACCUCCAUACUGUGGUGGCAUUCAGCCCAAUUGGAGAUGCUUUCCGCAAUCGUCUGAGGCAGUUUCCAUCACUCAUCAACUGCUGUACUAUUGAUUGGUUCCAGCCGUGGCCUGAAGAUGCCCUUGGAACGUGUGGCCAAUAAGUUCUUAGAAACACUUCAGCUCACAGACACUGAGCGUCAGGGAAUUGUGCCCAUCUGUAAAUACUUUCAUACUUCAGUUUUGUCACUCUCUGAAAGGUUCUUACAAAGUAUGGGACACCAUAAUUAUGUUACUCCUACUUCUUAUCUUGAGCUUAUUGCUUCAUUUCGGAGGCUUCUUACUGAGAAACGAGACAGUGUCAUGAAGGCCAAGAAGAAAUAUGUGAAUGGGCUAGAUAAACUAGCUUUUGCUGAGUCACAGGUGAGUUAUGACAAACAUGGAACUGAAAAUAGAGAAUGUUUGUCAAAUGCGAGUCUUUUUCUGGAGAAGUCAGUCAAAAGUGGUACCUCAGAUUUUGUUUAGCUCAAUCUUCAACAGUAAAACUAAGAAAUGUAUUUUGCCUUUUCUUUCCUACAAAAGUAGUGCUAGAGCCACAGAACUCCAAGCAUAUAUUGUUAAAUAGUAUA